GUAGCAGCAAGGGACUCGCAAUGCAGGAUAACAUCAGCCCAUGAGAUAAACAGGGUUUCAGAUGCAGAAAAUCUCCUGGGCACUCUUCAGGUCGAAACUAUCCAAGUCCUUGUGGAGGUCUAUGAGGUUUCUCUGGACAUCAGCAUUUCUAAAGCUGCUAGAGUGGAUCACAUCCAGUUUGGGGACUGUCACGUUGGGACGCCAUACUCCGUGACCUUCACCAUCACCAAUCGCAGCAGAGUGGUGGAG